ACUGUAAAGCCCAGCAGAAAGAAGGCAAGAGGCAGAAACAGCAAGAAAAGUAGAAUGUUUCCAAAUUCACUACUUCUCCUCCUCUUCUUCCUUUCUAUCGUCGUUCAAACCCUAGGGUUCCCAACGAUUGGUGUAAGUGGCGGAACUCAGAAAGGGAUUGACCGCAGAGUUCUGCUGAGUUUCAGAGAAACCCCUCGUGGUGGUAACGCUGCCUAUAAUUGCGAUCCUUCCGGUCUCUGCGUUCCCUGCCUCUACUCUGAAAAGAAUGAUGAAAAAUAUCGAUGCAGCGAGACUGGUUAUCGUAUUCCUUUUAAGUGCUUAGAAAUUAAAGAUAAUUUGAAGGACACAAAUGUUAAAAGUUCUCAUAACAGCCGAUCUACUCUGGAAACCUCUGACAACGAUCCAAAAUUAGAUGGAGUAUUGCCUGAUGCCGGAGAGCUUACUAGUUCAAUGAGACAUAGGAGUUUACUGGAUGACCCAUCAGCAGUAAAGAGUGGCCCGCAAGCUUAUAUUACUUAUAGAAGCUGUAUGGUACCUGUUAGCGAAGAGAAGUUAUCAGUUCUUGGGUUCGAGGGAAUUGUGUUGUGUUUAUUGCUCAUUAGCAGUUCAGUUGUAUACUUCAGAAGAAAGCGGACCACUGCCAUGACAAGUUUUGGAGGAGGGAGGAUCCAGACCAACUCUAGGUUUUAAUUCAGAUGAUACCUUUGGUACAUAGCCAAUUCUUAACAGUCACCAAGUCAUGUAGGCUAUUGAUUUUAGAAAGAAUUAAGCCAAGUUUUCAUUAUUUUCUACCCACAGUUUGUUUUUAUAUGCUAAUCCUAAGAGAGAUAUCAUCUUGUGUUUAUAGCCUCCAAGUGUGUCGAUGCUGAUUAAUAUAGUUUUGUAACCUAAUGAUUUUUUCUUCCAUUGAUUACAUUAUUUUCUACCUGAGGAAUCGGCCUGGGGAGGUUCGAGAUUCUGGCUCAGCAUAGGUGUAAGAUUUGUAGGGAAUUUCAGAUUACAUGGGAUAAUGAAAUUCUUGUAUUGUUGGGAACGAUAAAUAUAGAAGGCCUGUAAACCGGUGCAAA